rnacentral:lncRNA from 1 species
CUCAUAGUAGAUUCUUCUUCUCCAAGUAAAAUCUCAGCCUUGAGAAUCUCGAUCAACUCUUUGAUUUAGACUGUAGAAUCAACUCCUUGAUCUGUAGCUUUUUCUCUAUAUUCCUUACUGAAGAUGGACUGCUCCUCUACUCUUGGCGUGUAGAAGGUGGGAUGCCCAACCUUAGGCAUGGGAAAGAGAAGAGGAAGGAGAGGAGGCAUGGAGAAAGGAGAGAGAGAAUUUUUAUCUCAUAAAAUUCAAUUAAUUC